ensembl:lncRNA
CUUCUGUUAUAAAAUGACUUUUGCUUCAUCUUUAAUUUUACAUGUGUUAUGACACACGCCGAUGACAAGUUUGAAAGCAGUGCCAUUUCAGGGAAGUUAGAGUGGUAGUCAAUGACCACUAAAUAGUCUUUGCCUUUAACAUGAAAUAAAUCCAUCCCUACUUUGUACCAUGGCGCUGUUGGUGUUUCAUCAACAACCAUAGAUUCUUUGGUCUGUUUGUUGCAAUACUUCUGACAUGUCUCACACCUUCUUAUCAUGUUCUCAAUGUCUCUGUUCCUCCCAGGCCAAAAGGCUGUCUCUCUUGCCCUUCUUUUGCAUUUCUCAAUUCCGGGAUGCUCUUCAUCUAUUUAGAUGGAGGAUCACUAACAGGAGCGUGGGAAGACUCCAGAAUCCACUCUGGCUGGAAUCUGGUGGAUACAGCAGUGUUACAGAACAGUUCGCCACAGUCGCUGUCCACAUGGGUCAGUGGGACCAAGCAGCACUCUGCUAAUGUGUGGACUCUGACCAGCAACAUCCAGCAAGACCCAAGCAGCGUUUUCUAUCUCCCAGCUGGAGUUUUUGUUUGUCUGUGACUGGAGAGUCAGAUUUUGUUGAAGCUGGAGGAACAGAGAGGUUAAUACACGCUACUGAUCCCUGAUGGGAGAAUCUUCACCUCUGCCAACAAAGAAGCCUGGUGGAUAUUUGUUUGCAGUCUGAUGAUGGGACAUCAUGCUGUGCAUCUUCAAAACUGUGACACGGGAUGCCACCUUUAGUCUUGUGAUGAAGCAAAGCUCAGGAAGAAGUGUGAUUAAAUGGUACCCACAUGUGUGCUGCUGAGAAGGAUGUACAGGGGCACCUGCAGCCAAAUCCAAGCCUCCUCAGCAACUUCAGGUCUGUCAGCAUGCUGAGGUCACAGAAACAAGAAAAGAAGCUUGACACUUCAGAGUGUUGUUUACAGUUUUCUGACAUCAUGAUCUCCCCUGAAGUUUAUCACUAUUAGGCAAGCAAGCAGAGCAGCAGUUUGUGCUCACAGAUGGUGACGGUGUGGAGAGACGGUGGUGUUUCCUCAGAAGAACUAGCAGAGUCACAAAGGGCACGAGUCCAUCUCACCACCUUGACUUGUUGAUCAGUGGAUACACUUGUCUCCCCUUUAAAGGAGAUACUCUUAGAGAGAGACGAUCAGAGUCAUCCUUAAAUAUGGGCAGGAUAUCACUAUUGGACUGUCUAACCUGCAGGAGCAGCACUGAAUGACCACCACACAUGAUCAGUUCCUGCAACAUUCAGCAGCUCUGCUUUUGUGUCAAAUGUCGAACAGCUGGAGAGGAAACUACACCAGUGUACUGGGAUGUUUCACCAACACGUGCCAGACGCUGUUCCUUCAUGGUGACAUCACCAGAGACGGCCCCGCCCACCUCAGGACCUCGCCAUUGAUCAUGAUGAUUUUAAUGAUGACAGCGAGCGGAACUAAGACUGUAAAAAUCAGAAUGUUUAGAUGCUUUCUAAUUAUUCAUGAAUACUGAGAGCCUCUUUCUGUGUUUUGUCUGUUUUGUUUUUUACCUCAUUUGUUACUAACAAAGUUCACCAAACUCACACAGUUUACAUUCUGUAUGUUUCCAUCUUUACCAGCCACAGUCUACCCGC